CAGGAAGAACUCUGCAGAGCCAGUGACAAGCCCCUCACGAGUUCCAAGUUAGAGCUCUGAGUGGCCCUUUCAACAUGGCGCCAUGUGGAGACCACAACGGCAGACACAGCACUUCUGGCCCUGUUGGAACUCAACAUGCAGGUUAAUCUCUACUUUCCUGAAACAGCUUCCUCCCCAGCCAUCCGCCCUGCAUUUCUGCCUUUUUCCUUUCCGUGGCACCUUGAACCCAGACCACCUUUCUCAUUACAACCAGAUCGCUGCACUCUAUUCCUGUGCGCUGUUGAACAGAAUCCAUGACCACUGUCUAGUUGAGGGACUUUCUUCCCAAAGCUGCAAAUGAGGGGCUAGCGCAGCUGCGAAAGACUCGCGCAGCCUGCUAAAGAGAUUUUCUGUAAGUGGCCCACAAAGUGGUGUGUACCUUCCGAUCUUCUUCUCUCCUUCAUUAAACGCCGGCCAAAGAACUUUCCCUCAUGCCUGUUCCUGGCAGCCAAACCUCCAGCAUCUCACAUUGAUUUCCUUGCUAAAAAUACCCAGCUUCUCACUCCAUGGGGAAGAAAAAUGCAACAUUGUCCUGUUCCACAUGCUCCCUACAGGCUGACGCGGGCUCGGAUCAAUUCAUCAUUGCUAGUGCAUUUGGGUUUUAAUUUCUCUCUCACAAAACUCAUCUUGUUUAUCUGGUGGACACUGUGACAAGCAGCAGAUACAUCCAGACCUCAGCAUCCAUCCACAUACUCCAUAUCUGUGUGAGAGGAGGAUGGACGGUGCCAGCUAGAAACCCUCUUUAGGACAAUAGAAAAUUAUCUGAAAUUUCUGGAAGGGUUUCAUGAGUGGGGCCUUGCAGGUCACAGCAGUUCUAGAAGGUUUGUGCAUCAUUACACGGACCAACUGAUGGAAUGGUGUCUACUUGGCUGGUUUUUCUGCUGGCUAUGCAUAUUUUGUUGCAUGUUUUAUUUUAUCUCAAGGUGCUGCUGUGCUCAGGAGUAUGAUGUCAAUGAAAGUCUCUGGGAGGGGACAGCAAAGUGUCACAGAAAGAAAACACAGUGCCUGCUGUUCAGAGAAGCUCUAACUCUGCCACACCCAUCUAGAUAACCAUAGGCAGGUGAUCCAUUUGGAUUCUGUGGCUUUCCUUCUCCUUGAGAUUAGAACAACACUCUCCCUGCAAUAAUUGAAGAAC
ensembl:lncRNA